CUCCUUUUUAAUUUGAUAUCUUCCUACAGGUAGUGUUGUAACGGCUACAGUUGGAGCAAAUCCCGUGAGCACUAUGGUGUCUAUAUUCAGCCAGUUUGUUACCGUCACUGACACUAUUAAAUACUGGCAGACCAUAACUCAUGUUGACGUCACACAUCAGAUUCAUACGGUUCCUGUUGUGACGACGCAGGACUUGCUACAACAAAUCAUAACUACAAUAACCCAAAUCGUCACUACUACUGUCACCUCUACAACUGCCCGUUACUAUGGUUAAUUGUUAAAUUCCCAUUGUUUAAAAAAAAAAUUGUUUAAUGCAUUUUUUAGUCUUAAUCUUAACACCUAUAAAUUGUGGACACUAAAUUUUUAGUCUUGACUAUAAAAUCAAUCCACAUUCUGUGCUUUUCCUACUAGGAAAUGUGAUUUCAUUAGUAACAAUUGUGCAGAGUAGAAUGUUACAAACUAGUAUACCUUCGUUCUUGCUGUAACUUAAUAAAAUAAAACUACUUAA